rnacentral:RNase_P_RNA from 1 species
GAAGUGAGCUAGACAAUCGCUAGAAAAAGUCAUUUUUUUAGAGGAAAGUCCGGGCUCCAGAGGGUACAGCGCCAGGUAACGCCUGGGAGGCGUGAGUUUACGGAAAGUGCCACAGAAAAUAAACCGCCCAAAUUAUCGGGUAAGGGUGAAAAGGUGCGGUAAGAGCGCACCGCGUUGCUGGUAACAGUAACGGCAGGGAAAACCCCGCUGGGAGCAAAGCUAAAUAGGGACUAAAGACUUCGGUCGAGUGUGACCCACACUUGGGCUCGUUUGAGCCUGUUAGUCCGGGUAAGCUGCUUGAGGUGGUUAGCGAUAACCAUCCUAGAGAAAUGAUUGUCCACGACAGAACCCGGCUUAUCGGCUCACUUUACUU